rnacentral:lncRNA from 1 species
GGGACCUUCCUGGGUGCUUGAUAGGUUCUGAUCUCGUGCCUGAUUUGAAGAGAAAAGAGCUGUUGGACAUUAAUGUCGGUUUGCUCCAAAUAUGGCAAGUUUGAGUAAAUGAGGAUCCUCCUGAUCCAGUGGUUGCUGGUGCAUGGUAUGAACUUGCAGAACUCCUCUUGGACUCCUAGAAUAUCUUCUGAUUGGUUGAAAUGAUCUCCUGGUCGCCAAUGUCUGGUUUGAAGCUGGUUAAACCGGUUAGCUUCCAAUUGAGGCAAGUGUAGAACUGGUUUGACCGGUUUUGGAGAUUGGAUCAUAACUUCAUAACUCCGUGGCCAUUUCUCCUGAUAUUGGGCUUUAUGGAAAGCUGAGAGACUCCUCUUGACUCCAAUGAUGGGCUUUGCUUCAGGCCGCUCCUUCCUUGGGCUGGAAUCUCCUUCUAAAGUCGGGUACUCGCAGAUGGACGGGCUGGGAAACUUCUGAGUUGUAAAAUUCAUAACUUCUUGCUCCGUGAAUAUUUUGGCUCGAUUCCAAUUGGGCUGGACUCCUUCUUGAGUAUAAAAUCCAAUAAAAUUGGUUUCAUGUUGAAAGUCCUUCUGGUUGUAGAGAUAUACGCCUUGGACUGAACCUCGGUCGCUGGUACCUCCUAGAUGGCCGGUUUGGACGGUUUGGUGAGACUCUGGUUGAACCAUGGAUUUCGUGACCACAACAUCCCCUCCCUCUUGACAAGGUUUCGACCUCGAAACUAUAUAACCUGCAUCAAGAUAGAGCAAGUCAGAUUUCAUUCUCUUUUGAGAGUUUAGAACCUUACCUUGGUAUAAUUUCGGUUUGGUGAUGCAUGGUGCAUCUGGUGGCUCUUCUUUGAGAAGAUGUGAAAGGAUCACGCCUCUGCUAUGGUCAUGGCCAUUACAUCUCUUCUGGAGUGGAUGGUCCUUUAAAGUUUGGGUGGCCACGUUUCUGAUCUUCCUUGGAGUUGAUUCUCCUAGCAACAUAAGAUUAUCCGGUGGGAUUUCUUUGAAGCUUUCUUCUUGGCAACCUGAAAUAAUCUCAACACUCUGGACAAAAAGCAAGUGCAUUAUAUCUGUCAUGGAAAUAUUAAGAACAUGCUGAUCUAAAAUGAAUCUUACCAUAGGUUUUGGAACUUGAACAAUAGAUUGUUCAGAUUUCGGUUUCCACUUGGGAGUGAAUUCAUGGCUGAGCUUAUGGUCUGGUUCUUUCUUUGGGACUUCAAUAAGCUUAUAGCUUUCAUUUAUUCUCCCUGCACCAAGAACACACACGUCAGUACUAGUAUCCAAAGUUGGUGUUAGACACUUACCUUGGUGGGAUACUUUUAGGAUCGGUUUUGCUUCUUUAAACAACAUGGACUGCAUUGUGUCUUGAACCAUCUUAUGGUCCAUCACAGGUGUGGCGCCUGGUGGCUCCUCUCCUUUGAAUUCAUGCUCCUUAGUUCCUGUUACAUCACCCUUUGACAAAGACAAGUGCAUCAUACAAGAAUUUUGAGCUAAUAAAUCAGAUUGAAUAAAACUAUCACUCUUCAUAGAUAAAUCAGUUUUCUUUUCUAGUGAUGCUUCUAUCAAUGCUUGUUUACUUGGACAAACUACAGCAAAGUGUCCUCUUUUAUGACAUCUAUAACAUGUCUGAUCUUUUAAAUUUUCAGAGUUAGAAGACUUACCUUGGCUUGUUGGCUCUUCUUUAUUUGUAUUUAAAAUCUCCUUGUCUCUUGGACUUAAAUCAUGGACAACUUUUGAUCUCAACAAGGAUGUUGAGUUCGUCUCUUUCUGGACCUCAGGACCUGUCUUAACAUUCUUGGACAAAGACAAGUGACUCAUACAAGUGGUAGAUGAUUCAUUAACUGAUUUAUCAAGUAUAGGACUUACCUUAGCCUUUACUUGGACAAUAACAGGUUCUGGCUUUUCUUUGGAAACAUGAGUUAGAUACCUCCUUGGGUAUAUCUUUCGGAUCUUAGAACUUGUGAGUUCUGGUGAAAAUUCAUCCCUCAUGACUUCCUUAAGAUCUCUCCACGUUUUGAUAGCUGGCUCCUUGUAAAACCAUCUAUCAUCUUCUUCUUGUACCCACCAUUUAAAGGCAUUACCUCUUAGUUGAUCAAUGGCAUAAGAUAGUCUCUCUUCUUUCAGAAUGUUGUUGUAGUGAAACCAUUCAUCAAGGUUCCUCUCCCAAAAUAGGUAGCUUCUUCCUCCUGAAAAUGUAAAGAGUUCAAUUUUAUCAGCAAAAGAUUUAUGAUCAAACCGAGAAUUAGCAACAUGAUGAGUAUGGGUUUGAGAAGUUGGAUGUUGAUUGAUCCUUGAAGGAUCUGGUGGCUUGGGCUCGACAUAGACAGCCUCUGGAGCAUCUCCAAAUCUCCUUUCUCCUGGGUGUGGACGUUGGCCUUGUGCCUUCUUUCUUUUCCUCAGCUGUGCAAUCAGAUCAACCUCUUGCAAAGCUGUCAAAUGUUGGUUCUGUUUGGCCAUCUGACAUUGGCCGUGUGUUUCUCCUACCAUGGCUUCCUGAAAACACUCUCAAAGAUCAAGUGAAGAAAUGGGAAGGUCUGGUCGAACCAAAAUAAAUCAAGUGCACAAUGCAAUUUAAACUAAACCGAGAAAAUAUGCAAUUAUGAACCGAAAUGAAAUAAAAUAUGCAAAAAUUAUUUUUCUUUUGGUUUUCUCAAUGCAAACACGAAAUGGAUCAACUAAUAUGAUAUGAAACAAUAACUAGGAUGAUUUCUUUUGGCUUUUAAAUUUAUGGAUGCAAAUGAAAAGAAAUCAAAUUCAAAACAGCACUUUUUAUGAGAUUUUCUUUUAUGGAAACUAAUGAAUGCAAACACUUUUCUUUUGGGAUUUUCGAUUUUAAAUGAAUCAAACAAAACUUUUUCUUUUCUUUUUCGUGGCUCUUAGCAGGAUGAACAGAAAGAACACAAAACAAAUGCAGAAACAAAACUUGAAACAAAGAAACAGUUUUUAUGGAUUUUCGGUUUAUGAUGAAAAACAAAUGCAAACAAAUAUGAAUGAUGCAAGGAUAGAGUGACCUGAUUCAGGAGCUUGAGCUCUGAUACCAAAAUGUUGUAGGCACAGGGGGGGUAACCCACGAAUUGAUAAAAAUGGUGGAACCAAGGUUUAAACCUGAAAACAAAGAGAACCGAUUUUUAUGAGUUUAGAGUUUUUAUGAUGCAAACAGAAACAAAUAUGAAAACAAAUAAGAUGAUGAUGAUAAUGAUAAUGAAACAAGAUAAAUAAACAAAGGAUAGGAUGGAAUCAAGCUGCUGGAUGUGUAUCACUCUCAGCUUGAUUAGAAGAUGAACUGAAGUGGAUUUGCGGAGGAAGGUUUGAUUGAAUCUCUCAAUCUGAUGGAAUGAUGGAUCGAAGUGAUUGACUCUCUCAAUCUGUGUACUGAGCUUGUUUGAUUUGCACAAACAAACUAGACUCACGAAAUCAAUAAGACAACAAAGAAUCUCUCUUUGAAUCCUAAAGACCGAUAUUUUAUACAAAGAACAACUUUGAUAAAACUGAAUAAACUUUUUAUUAACUUGGUGAUUAAGGGUGCUCUUUACAAUGGACGUCUAGGAGCUUAUAUAAGGCUCAGAGACAAAGGUCCUAACGUUCUAAAACAAAUAGAAAAGGAAACAAAUCAAGAAAAGUAACAAAAUCGGAAACUAGCCGUUGGAGCCUUUUAUGGGAUUUUGGCUCCAAGUGAGAAACUUGAUUCUUCUUGAACCUGGACGGUUUUAAUGGAUAAGAGAGCUUCCUUGGGACCUUCCUGGGUGCUUGAUAGGUUCUGAUCUCGUGCCUGAUUUGAAGAGAAAAGAGCUGUUGGACAUUAAUGUCGGUUUGCUCCAAAUAUGGCAAGUUUGAGUAAAUGAGGAUCCUCCUGAUCCAGUGGUUGCUGGUGCAUGGUAUGAACUUGCAGAACUCCUCUUGGACUCCUAGAAUAUCUUCUGAUUGGUUGAAAUGAUCUCCUGGUCGCCAAUGUCUGGUUUGAAGCUGGUUAAACCGG